rnacentral:rRNA from 1 species
GUACCGUCAAUGCAAUCACCUAUUGGAUAAUUACAACUUCUUCCCAGUUGACAGAGCUUUACGACCCAAAGGCCUUCUUCACUCACGCGGCGUUGCUGCGUCAGGGUUUCCCCCAUUGCGCAAAAAUUCCUCA